GGAAAUGAUGAGAGUUAUUGUCGCCCCAGUCUUAUGAGCUUUGUAUAAUUGCAUAGUUCGAUGGUGAUGGACAUAUUCAUAAUCUGAUUC